UAUCAAUAAUAACUUUAAACAUAAAAGGACUAAAUGCUUCAGUCAAAAGACAGUGAGUGGCUGAAUGGAUAAGAAGCAAUGACCCAUAUAUAUGCUGUCUACAAGAGACCCACCUCAGAACAAAGGACUCAAAGAGACUGAAAGUGAAGGGAUGGAAAAAAUGUAUUUUAGGCUAAAAGAAA